rnacentral:rRNA from 1 species
CCCUACGGGGGGCAGCAGUGAGGAAUAUUGGUCAAUGGGCGCGAGCCUGAACCAGCCAAGUAGCGUGAAGGAUGACUGCCCUACGGGUUGUAAACUUCUUUUAUAAAGGAAUAAAGUGAGGCACGUGUGCCUUUUUGUAUGUACUUUAUGAAUAGGGAUCGGCUAACUCCGUGCCAGCAGCCGCGGUAAUACGGAGGAUCCGAGCGUUAUCCGGAUUUAUUGGGUUUAAAGGGUGCGUGGGCGGUCUGUUAGGUCAGCGGUAAAAUUGCGGGGCUCAACCCCGUCGAGCCGUUGACACUGGCAGA